rnacentral:lncRNA from 1 species
UUUCAAAAGUUAUCUGGGUUUAGAGUGUGAAACUUCGUCGGAGGACACACACCUUGCGUGAAUGAGAUGCCUCGGUGUGUGUGGACAUGUUGGAGGUACAGCAUAAUGGUGGCUUCCUCCAGAAAGGGACAUUUGGGGGAGCACCAAUGGCUCCUGUCUCACAGUGGAUUCAUUCCACCUAGACAACACAGCCUGAUGUGGCAUGGACAUGAAUGGAGGUCAAAUGGGCAGUAGCUGAGAGGAUCAGCCCUGACAAGGGCCAGGGUGAAAGACCUGGGAGUCUCUUCAGGUGCAAAGUCUUCAGUUGAAAAAAGGAGGUGGUCACAGGAGAUACUGAGCUGGAUCAAUAAAGUGCAGGAGAGAGAGUUGUUGGCCCUGGGGAGCGAGUAGUAUGGACUCUUAAGUUUUCUCCUCCUUCCAUUAAUUUCUCUUCCAGUGCAGACUUCAGUCUUAGACUUCCCAGCUGCCUUGAGGGAUUGGAUGAGCCUUGGCCAGCUCUUGAAGGAAACAAUAAAAUCACUUUAAUGUGCUACUUUUCAUUUUGAAGUCAUUACAGUAUCAUUUGCAAAACUCAACA